CGGAGCAUGGCUCAGUGGAGAGCAUUCGAUAGGUCGAGAGCUCCUGGGUUCAAAUCCGGGUACUCCCU
rnacentral:tRNA from 1 species